ensembl:lincRNA 4931440J10Rik RIKEN cDNA 4931440J10 gene
GCGGGCCACCGGGUCCGGGUCACCACCGGGGCUGGGUUAGUCGGUACCUUCAUGAAGGUCUCUACCGCGCCUUUGGCCGUGUCCAGAUCAUAAUAGUGAUACUGAGAACAACAACAACAAAAUUAACAAGCAUAAAAUUGGAUAUGAAAUUAAACAAGGUUGCAAUUGCUGCAAGGCUUUUUUUGCCAGGCUUUCCUGUAUGACUCGGAACUGUUUACAAUCACCUCCUCCCUCUCCAGGAGCUAUGGAGCAAAUGAAUGGAGCUAGAAAAUACGUCAUCCUGAGCAAGGCAACCCAGACCAAAAGACAAGUAUGCUCUGGGGCUCACACGUGUUAGCUGAGCACCUGCCACUGAGCCCUCAGCCUCAGAUACUGUUAACUAAGGCACAACAGAGGUAAAGGUGAAGUGUUUUCCUAAGGCUCUAAGGUGUCCCAGGCUCCAGUGAAAGUUUUGAGGGAGGGAAAGUGGUCUCUCUACUUCAUGAAGUCAGAGCAGAUCACACCUACAACGAGGAGAACACAAUUUGGAUGAAGAGGAAACAAGAACAAAAGCUGUCACAGAGAGUUAAAGGGAGUGACUGCAAAGUGUGGAGCCAGUGACUUGGCCACACUUUGAUGAAGUGGCUGCGGGUCUUCUCUUCAUUGUUUACACAAGCCAUUAGAGCAUCUUCUCACGGAAACCAUUUGACUCUGCAGUGUUGCUGCUUUGAGCUGACAGAGGAUGGAAAGUGGUCCCUGCAAUGAGAACAGGGUCUGCUGCGGAGACACAGAAAGUUCUUAAAGUAUUUGGUCACCUUAGGAUGUGACAUUAUCUAUUAUUGCUUUGAAAAGACUACAGUAGCUGUUCUGUGGGUGGCUUGGAGAGAACAAGGCUGGACCAGUGAGAAACUC